AGAGUCGGCCAGACAGUCGCUGUGCGUUUUUUUGCGCAUGGAGGAAAGUCCGGGCUCCAUCGGGCGAGGUGCCAGGUAACACCUGGGGGGCGCGAGCCCACGGAAAGUGCAACAGAAAGAUACCGCCUAAGCGCCGCAAGGCGCCGGUAAGGGUGAAAUGGUGCGGUAAGAGCGCACCGCGUGGAUGGCAACAUCCUCGGCACGGCAAACCCCACCUGGAGCAAGGCCAAAUAGGGAAGCGAGCGGCGCCAUGAGCCGCGACAUGUGGCCCACAUGGGCUUCCGGGUAGGUCGCUUGAGGUGCACGGCGACGUGCAUCCCAGAGGAAUGACUGUCCUAGACAGAACCCGGCUUAACGGCCGACUCUUUUU
rnacentral:RNase_P_RNA from 1 species